ensembl:lncRNA
AUGGAGAAAAUAAGUGCUUUUAAGAAUUCAUCAUCAAAUUUGAGGAAACGCAUUGAGAGAAAACAUCCUAAUAACUUGAAAAACUACCCAGACCUGACCUCGAUCGCACAGAAGCGGAAGAAUGUGAGCAAAAAUAUGGAGCCCCUAACAAAACAACUCAAAAUUGGAGAGACCAAGAUCAUUUUUCAAGCUACCGUUGAUAAAGCUGUACUGCGAUUUCAUUGCAUAUGGUCUCCAACCUUGCAGCCUGAUUCUACUGUACGAUCAAGAUCAACAAUCUGUGCCAAGAUAGAGGAAGCUGCAGGAGGAAUGAAGAAAAGUGUCUAUGGAGGUGAGAACAUACAUGGCAACGAUACAGAAAGUGCAACAGCAACCCCAUCAGAAGAUGAGGAUGAAUCUGACACUCAAGAUGAGGAGAAAUGUGGGGAGAUCAAAUAUGUUGAGGUUGCUGAAAUUCUAGCCAAGGAUGAUCUUGAAUUUCAUUUGCCCAAGAAUCAGCGUUGUUCUUGCCAUCUUCUGAACCUGGGCCCGUAUUCACAAAACAUCUUAAGGCUAAAAGUAGCUCCUAACUUGCCGAUUUAGGAGAAAAUCUUAAAAAUAGGGGGCAUGUCAGUCCUUAAUAUUAAGACUCCUAAAUUUUUGCUCUAAGAGUAUUUCAUAAAUAGCUCCUAAAUCUGUGAAACAUUAGGAGUAGUGAAGAGGACUCCUAAGUCACUAAAACCAAAUCUGAAAUAUCCUAAAAUGACUGUUGCCAACAGUCUACCUCGGAAUAUAAACAUUUUAGAAACAUUUUUUCUAAUUGGUUUGGAGGUUAUCCCAACUCCAAAUGUUAAAUUAUAUCCUUAAUAUAUAGCUGUUCUCCCAUCCAGUUUGGUUUUCUUUUAUGUUUGCAUGUCUUACUAUCUGCCAUGAUUAUUCUGCUAAUUAAAAGGCUGUUUAUAAACAAAAUUUAUUAGUCGCUUAGCCGCAGAAAAAAAUUAAUUCCACAUGAAGUGGCGAAAUCACUCAUCAGUCUGUGAUGGACAAAUCGUAACGGCUGGUCUAUGUGGUAAUAUAGUACAUCAGGCAGGACAUCCAUAUGCUCACCUAACAUUCAUCGACCUCAAAUAUGGCUUAUCAUCUGAGAUAUGUAUGUAGUAGCAACUUUACAUGGCAGCUCAAUCUAAUUUUAGCCUAGAAGUGCGCAUGUUUGUGCGGAGUGUGGAAGCUGAACAGUAGUAGCGCUUGGGCUACUGCAGGACAGAUGAAGGUGCCGCUGCGAUCGUUUGCUCUUAAAUAACGCAUCUUUUGUAUCUGUAAUGCAUCAAGUAAUGCAUCUUUUGUAUCUGUAAAGACUACGUUUAUUCGUGUUCACUCAGAAUAGCAACGAAAUGUUGGGCUUUUGUAAAAUAAUUAAAGCAAACAGUCAGAAUAGCAACGAAAUAUUGCGCUUUUGUAAAAUAAUUAAAGCAAACAUAAUGCGCUUUCUGCCGUCUCGGACUCUGUGAACUUGAGCACGUCACUUCGAAACUCUGUGGAUGCUUGCCUUAUUACAGACAUGAAAAAUAUAUCUAUAGAGAGUGAAACUUUAAAAAUGAACCAAUUCAAGCAGAAAACAAAUAUUCUCAGAUUAUGUAAUCCGUAUGAAACAUGCAUACAGGUGCUGCAGAGAUGAGUCACUGUCACAGACUUCAUCUCCUAAACCGAAAACAGAAAGCACUAGUGUAACAAUAAAUUACGACGUACAUCCA